ensembl:lncRNA
GUGGCAGUGUGCGAUGAUAGGCCUUGCCACUCUCAUCCACCUCUCUUUUUUCACCAGCGGUCAGCAGGGCCCGGUUUGAGGAUGCUAUGCCUUCUCAUGAGGCCCUACCCAACUGUGGAGCCAGGUAAGUGUUGCACCGCACACUCAGACUCCCCCCUCCGGGGUGCUGUGCCCUCCGGGUGGGAUCCCUGUGCUCCACCAUGCUGCCUCACUGCUGGUACUUCUGUGGUCCCUUUGACCCUGUUUGCAGUCUCUGGAGGCUUAACUAGUGCCUCUCAGGCUGCCUCGCUGGCUCAUUUUCACCAUCAGACUUGGCUAUGUGAUUCAAUUCGCCCAGCAUCCCCCCAGGCUAGAGUUAUUGGCCUGAGGGCAGAUAUUGUAGUCCAACUGGUGAAGGACGCGAUACAGCCAGCCCAUCCAGAUGAUGUUGAAGACACUGUUUUACAGACCGUACUUCUUUCUACCCCAGUAAACCAGUGGGUUGCGGCCAAUCUGGACAUGCGUGUCUUGAACUGGGCUCUCCAUAAGCUCCCAUUCAAGAUGUUAACGCAGGAACACAUUUUCCAAUGUGUUAGUCCUUAUGAUUGGUUUGCAACGACCUACCGGAAUGACACAUACUUUCAUGUCUCAAUUCUCCACUUUACGUUCGACAGGCAAUCCCUGUCGCCUUGUGUCUUCACCAAGGUCGUGGAGGCAACCCUCGUCCCAUUGAGGGAAAGAGGCAUUCGCAUUUUCAACUCCUUCGAAGACUGGAUCCUACUGGCCCAGUCUCGAGCAUAGUUGUGCGAAUAUGGGGACGUGGUACUCAGCCACCUCAGCCAGUUAGGGCUUCAGGUCAACUGGGAAAAGAGCAAACUCUUCCCCUGUGCAGAGGAUCUCUUUUCUCGGUAUGGAGUUUGACUCAGUCAAUCUAACAGCACGCCUCUCAGUGGAGCAUGCUCAGUCGAUGCUGGACUGCAUGAAGUCAUUUCAGUGCAGGAGGGCGGUUCCACUGAAACAGUUUCAG